CUACGGGAGGCAGCAGUGGGGAAUAUUGCACCAUGGGCGAAAGCCUGAUGCAGCAACGCCGCGUGAGCGAUGAAGGCCUUCGGGUCGUAAAGCUCUGUCCUCAAGGAAGAUAAUGACGGUACUUGAGGAGGAAGCCCCGGCUAACUACGUGCCAGCAGCCGCGGUAAUACGUAGGGGGCUAGCGUUAUCCGGAAUUACUGGGCGUAAAGGGUGCGUAGGUGGUUUCUUAAGUCAGAGGUGAAAGGCUACGGCUCAACCGUAGUAAGCCUUUGAAACUGGGAAACUUGAGUGCAGGAGAGGAGAGG
rnacentral:rRNA from 1 species